UACGUAGGGUGCAAGCGUUACUCGGAAUUACUGGGCGUAAAGCGUGCGCAGGCGGUGAUGUAGGACAGAUGUGAAAUCCCCGGGCUCAACCUGGGAAUGGCAUUUGGGACUGCAAGGCUCGAGUGCGGCAGAGGAGACUGGAAUUCCUGGUGUAGCAGUGAAAUGCGUAGAUAUCAGGAGGAAUACCGAUGGCGAAGGCAGGUCUCUGGGCUGACACUGACGCUCAUGCACGAAAGCGUGGGGAGCAAACAGG
rnacentral:rRNA from 1 species